AUGUGGCUUUUUGCAAUAUCUAAGAGCUACCUGAAAAGAUGUCCCAGGGAAGAGAAGAGAAGAGAAGAGAAGAGAAGAGAAGAGAAGAGAAGAGAAGAGAAGAGAAGAGAAGAGAAGAGGAGCGGAGAUAGACGGAGAGAGAAAAAGGAGGAGAGAGAGAGAGAGAAGCAGACAUGCCAAAGCAGAUGGACACAGGAAAUGUGUGAACAAGUUAUUAAAUUUUUAAAAAUUGACUGCAGUAAUUGUGAAGCAGGCAGUGGAACCACUGAGCUGAAUCCCUGGCCUGGCUGCAGUAAUUGUGGAAGGUUGUCAAGUCUGAAAUCUACAGGAUAGGCUGGCAUGCUGGAGAUCCAGAGAAAAGUUGCAAUUUGAUCUGUGUUGUGGCUUGUGUCUAGAUGUCCCCUAAAGCCUCGUGGUCAUAGGUGGGUGUUUUCAGAGGUAGCUGGAUCUAGAGUGUGUGAUGCCAGGAUUAGGGGUAUGUGAUUACUAAAUUAGUCCACUGAUUGAUUUGGUAUAGUUCUGGGAGGGGAUAAUGGGAAGACCCUCCCUGGGUAUGCUGUGUGCCCUAAGGGAUAAAACAAAGAAAGAGGCAGAAAGAGGGCUCCUGGUACUUCACUUUGCUACUUUCUGCCUGCCAUGAGCUAUUUCUCCUCUUUGAUGCCCCUCAGCCAUACCACCUUGCCUUGGAGCUAGCAGAAUUCUCUCCUCUUCCAGAAGGGUCACUGUUUCUACAAAGCCCUCCUACCAUUUGGAUGAAAUUCACUCUUGUUUUGUGGUAUAAUUUGCUUUUCUCAAAAUCUGCCAAUUUGACUGUUAAUCUUACGUAAAAAAUAAUUUCACCCAAACACCUAGAAUAAUGUUUGACAUUAUUGAGCUACAGUCCCAG
rnacentral:lncRNA from 1 species